rnacentral:rRNA from 1 species
CAGUCGCCGCGGUAAAACGUAGGGCGCAAGCGUUAUCCGGAAUUAUUGGGCGUAAAGAGCUCGUAGGCGGUUUGUCGCGUCUGCCGUGAAAGUCCGGGGCUCAACCCCGGAUCUGCGGUGGGUACGGGCAGACUAGAGUGAUGUAGGGGAGACUGGAAUUCCUGGUGUAGCGGUGAAAUGCGCAGAUAUCAGGAGGAACACCGAUGGCGAAGGCAGGUCUCUGGGCAUUAACUGACGCUGAGGAGCGAAAGCAUGGGGAGCGAACAGGAUUAGAUACCCCUGUAGUCCCUGUCUCUUAUAC